rnacentral:lncRNA from 10 species
GAAAGCUUCUGUUUGUAUGUAUAAGGCAAUGUGCAUGCCAGCAUGUCAGUUACAGCAGGAGAGAGGGAACAAGCCAUGUGGGAACUGAUGGAGCCAUGUCACAUCCAGUGUCCUCUGCAGCCGCUAUGGAGUGCCAGGAGGAAUGAGGGGCAAAUGGUAAGAUCUUUAUGACGUGAGAGAAGCCAGGUGCGGAGCAGGGAACAGUCAGGUUUAAUUGGUGUGAAGAACAGGAUCACUGAAAAAUAUUUUCUCAUAGAUAAAACUCUUUUUGUAUAAAAGUCUACAGAAUUGCGAUAGGAAACCCAUAAUCAUGGUUUCAAGUGGGCAGAGAACUAGGCUCUGGCGUCAGGGGAGGAAGGGGAACUGUUCACUGUCAACACCUUUUAGGACGUUUCCAUUGGGAUCGAAGGGUGGCUCACUCUGCCACUUUGACAUAAGAAUCACUUCUACCUAAGGCACUUGAAAAAUGGCACAGGCAAGAGCAUCAUCGGAUCUCUCCUUUUCUUCCUGAAGACAGGAGAUAAAAACGCUCAGGUGAAAGAUGCCUUCCCUGUACCGGGCGAAGAAAGAUUCCUCUACAGGGAAGCACGUCAUAGCCAACAGAAUUCUGUACAGACAUUAAAGUAAUUAAAGUAAUUCCUGUCGUUCUUAA